UAGACUGUGCGCUCACGGCCUGGUGUGGAGCAGGUGUAGACUGUGCGCUCUGGUGUGGAGCAGGUGUAGACUGUGCGCUCACGGCCUGGUGUGGAGCAGGUGUAGACUGUGCGCUCACGGCCUGGUGUGGAGAAUGGUGUAGACUGUGCGCUCAUCGCCUGGUGUGGAGCAGGUGUAGACUGUGCGCUCAUCGCCUGGUGUGGAGCAGGUGUAGACUGUGCGCUCUGGUGUGGAGCAGGUGUAGACUGUGCGCUCUGGUGUGGAGAAUGGUGUAGACUGUGCGCUCACGGCUCUGGUGUGGAGCCGGGUGUAGACUGUGUGCUCACGGCCUGGUGUGGAGAAUGGUGUAGACUGUGCGCUCACGGCUCUGGUGUGGAGAAUGGUGUAGACUGUGCGCUCACGGCCUGGUGUGGAGCAGGUGUAGACUGUGCGCUCAUGGCUCUGGUGUGGAGAAUGCUGUAGACUGUGCGCUCAUCGCCUGGUGUGGAGCAGGUGUAGACUGUGCGCUCUGGUGUGGAGCAGGUGUAGACUGUGUGCUCUGGUGUGGAGAAUGGUGUAGACUGUGCGCUCACGGCUCUGGUGUGGAGCAGGUGUAGACUGUGCGCUCACGGCCUGGUGUGGAGCAGGUGUAGACUGUGCGCUCACGGCCUGGUGUGGAGCAGGUGUAGACUGUGUGCUCACGGCCUGGUGUGGAGAAUGGUGUAGACUGUGCGCUCACGGCUCUGGUGUGGAGAAUGGUGUAGACUGUGCGCUCUGGUGUGGAGCAGGUGUAGACUGUGCGCUCUGGUGUGGAGCAGGUGUAGACUGUGCACUCACGGCCUGGUGUGGAGAAUGGUGUAGACUGUGUGCUCACGGCCUGGUGUGGAGCAGGUGUAGACUGUGUGCUCACGGCCUGGUGUGGAGAAUGGUGUAGACUGUGCGCUCACGGCUCUGGUGUGGAGAAUGGUGUAGACUGUGCGCUCACGGCCUGGUGUGGAGCAGGUGUAGACUGUGCGCUCUGGUGUGGAGAAUGGUGUAGACUGUGCGCUCACGGCCUGGUGUGGAGCAGGUGUAGACUGUGUGCUCUGGUGUGGAGAAUGGUGUAGACUGUGCGCUCACGGCCUGGUGUGGAGCCGGGUGUAGACUGUGUGCUCACGGCCUGGUGUGGAGAAUGGUGUAGACUGUGCGCUCACGGCCUGGUGUGGAGAAUGGUGUAGACUGUGCGCUCACGGCCUGGUGUGGAGCAGGUGUAGACUGUGCGCUCACGGCCUGGUGUGGAGAAUGGUGUAGACUGUGUGCUCACGGCUCUGGUGUGGAGAAUGGUGUAGACUGUGCGCUCACGGCCUGGUGUGGAGCAGGUGUAGACUGUGUGCUCUGGUGUGGAGAAUGGUGUAGACUGUGCACUCAUGGCCUGGUGUGGAGCAGGUGUAGAC
rnacentral:lncRNA from 1 species